CAACUUGAGAGUUUGAUCCUGGCUCAGAGCGAACGCUGGCGGCAGGCCUAACACAUGCAAGUCGAGCGGCCGUAGCAAUACGGCAGCGGCAGACGGGAUAGUAACACGUGGGAACGCGCCCUUCGGUUCGGAAU
rnacentral:rRNA from 1 species